GUCCACGCCCUAAACGAUGUCUACUAGUUGUUGGGUCUUAAUUGACUUAGUAACGCAGCUAACGCGUGAAGUAGACCGCCUGGGGAGUACGGUCGCAAGAUUAAAACUCAAAGGAAUUGACGGGGACCCGCACAAGCGGUGGAUGAUGUGGAUUAAUUCGAUGCAACGCGAAAACCUUACCUACCCUUGACAUGUACAGAAUGCCGAAGAUAUUUGGCGGUGCUCGCAAGAGAACUGUAACACAGGUGCUGCAUGGCUGUCGU
rnacentral:rRNA from 1 species